rnacentral:rRNA from 1 species
AGCAGUCGCCACGGUAAUACGAAGGGGGCUAGCGUUGUUCGGAUUUACUGGGCGUAAAGCGCACGUAGGCGGAUCGAUCAGUCAGGGGUGAAAUCCCAGAGCUCAACUCUGGAACUGCCUUUGAUACUGUCGAUCUGGAGUAUGGAAGAGGUGAGUGGAAUUCCGAGUGUAGAGGUGAAAUUCGUAGAUAUUCGGAGGAACACCAGUGGCGAAGGCGGCUCACUGGUCCAUUACUGACGCUGAGGUGCGAAAGCGUGGGGAGCAAACAGGAUUAGAUACCCCCGUAGUCCCUGUCUCUUAUAA